rnacentral:rRNA from 1 species
AUUGAACGCUGGCGGAAUGCUUUACACAUGCAAGUCGAACGGCAGCACGGGGGCAGCCCUGGUGGCGAGUGGCGAACGGGUGAGUAAUACAUCGGAACGUGCCCGGUCGUGGGGGAUAACGUAGCGAAAGUUACGCUAAUACCGCAUACGAUCUGAGGAUGAAAGCGGGGGACCUUCGGGCCUCGCGCGAUCGGAGCUGCCGAUGUCAGAUUAGGUAGUUGGUGGGGUAAAGGCCUACCAAGCCGACGAUCUGUAGCUGGUCUGAGAGGACGACCAGCCACACUGGGACUGAGACACGGCCCAGACUCCUACGGGAGGCAGCAGUGGGGAAUUUUGGACAAUGGGCGCAAGCCUGAUCCAGCCAUUCCGCGUGCAGGACGAAGGCCUUCGGGUUGUAAACUGCUUUUGUACGGAACGAAAAGGCUCUGGCUAAUACCUGGGGCUCAUGACGGUACCGUAAGAAUAAGCACCGGCUAACUACGUG